GCCGGCAGCUAGCUCUCUUCAACUCUUACAUGGAUGCCCACUAAAGCUGAGUCAGGCUGUGCCCGAUCAGUACCAUGAUGGGAGACCACAUGGGAAAGCUAGGUUGCUGCCGGAA
ensembl:rRNA 5S_rRNA 5S ribosomal RNA